UGCAUAUCCAAAAAGCGGAGGAAAAGAAACCAACAGGGAUUGCCUCAGUAGCGGCGAGUGAAGCGGCAAGAGCUCAGAUUUGAAAUCUCACCUAGUGUGCGAGUUGUAAAUUGCAGGUUGGAGUCUCGGGUUAGACGUGUGUGCAAGUCCCUUGGAACAGGGCGCCACUGAGGGUGAGAGCCCCGUAGCGUGCAUGUCGACACCUGUGAGGCCCUUCUGACGAGUCGAGUUGUUUGGGAAUGCAGCUCUAAGUGGGUGGUAAAUUCCAUCUAAGGCUAAAUAUUGGCGAGAGACCGAUAGCGAACAAGUACUGUGAAGGAAAGAUGAAAAGCACUUUGAAAAGAGAGUGAAACAGCACGUGAAAUUGUUGAAAGGGAAGGGUAUUGGGCUCGACAUGGGAUUUACGCAUCGUUGCCUCUCGUGGGCGGCGCUCUGGGUUUUUCCUGGGCCAGCAUCGGUUUUUGUUGCAGGAUAAGGACAAUUGGAAUGUGGCUCCUCGGAGUGUUAUAGCCUUUUGUAGAUGCUGCGUAUGGGGACCGAGGGCUGCGGCGGACUCGUUUCGUCUCGGAUGCUGGCACAACGGCGCAAUACCGCCCGUCUUGAAACACACGGACCAA
rnacentral:rRNA from 1 species